GCAGAGCUGCUGCUCGGCCAUGGGAGAAAAACAGCAGGGCCGGACGCCAUGGAAGCCGCAGGGGCACGGGUGCCAUGGCAAGCUUCGAGUAGGGGAAGAAGGGAGAGGGGCGCGGCCUGCACCCAUAAAGUUCCUGCUCCUACGACAAGGAACAGAGGGAGGAGGGAGCUACGCAGGAAGGGGCGCCGAGCAUAGGGAACUUCGGACGCCCUGGCUGCUGGCCUCACAGAGGCAUCGGUCUGCAACAGAGGGCGCGAGCCAGAGAAGGGCAAAGGUCCGGCCAUGGCUGCUUCUACCCCUGCGCAAGGGAGGCCAGGGAUGGACGCCAUGGGCAGGAGCUCGGCUGCAGGAGGCUGCUCGCCAUGGAGAGAGGGCGCAGGGGAAGGUGGAGCUGCUGCUGCGCGAGGAAGAAAACAGGGAGAAGAGAGAAUGGCGGCUGAAAAUUUUUGAGGGGUGGGAGUGCAAAAUAGCCAAGUGCAAGGAAGGAGCACUUCUAUUUAUAGACAUGGGUUAGGGUUAGGGUUUCUUUGUUGGCCAAAUGGGCUAGAAUGGGCUUGGCCAAAAAUGCUAAAUCGUGUCGCGCUAAAUUAUUUCUAGAGUAAAAAUGCUCCUGCGGAAUUCGUUGAGACAGAAAAACAAAGCGAAAUAGAGUUCGGACGAAUGAACGAUUGAGCGAUUAAUUUCAGCUGAGAGUCUGAUUUGGAUUCUCUCGGAAAUAAUUCCCUACACAUGGUCGAAAAUAAAUUGCCUCGGGAUACGACCGACUUUCGGAUUUUUAGUCAGAGAAGGUGAAUCGUUGCAUUUUAAAAUCGCUGUCGAUACGGGGUUUUGAAUUCGGUUCGGACGUGAGAUAUUUGGCCGAGUCGGAUAAAAUUGAUUAGAGGACGACAUAUUGAGUAUUCUGUUUGAGAGUACGGAUCCGAAUAAAAUAGUCGAACAUAGAUCAAGGUUCGAAAAAUUAGACUGAGGCUGAGGUCAAAUAACAGCCGUCGAGAGUUUGAUUUAAUGAGCUUCAGAUGAGAUUUAUAAUUCGAGAAUGAUUUUCGAGUUUGAAUUCAUUCCGAGAAAUAAAAGUUUUAACAAGCUCCAAAAUUGGUUCUUUCUCGCGAUCGAAUAAAAUCAGAAAUCGGUGAAACCUUCACAAGUAACUUGAUAAAUGGAGAUAAACGCGAUCGAGAAAUAGAAUUUUCACUGAGCAUUCAAGUUAGGGACAAAUCUCCCGACAUAACACGAAAUAGACACCUGGGGUGUCACA
rnacentral:misc_RNA from 1 species